rnacentral:rRNA from 1 species
CGUAAUAACAGAAACUAACCAGGAUUCCCUUAGUAACGGCGAGUGAACUGGGAUACCAAUAUAUUUAUGCGUCUCUGGCGCAUAUUUUUAGCCCGUCGAUACUAUCCUAGCGUAUUACCGGUUUCGGCCGGUAGCCCAAUACGCGGGAAUUGUAGCAUCGUAAUAAAAUAUACACCAUGCCUGCGUCGCAAACGUAUAUACACGUAUACUCACACACACACACAUACUCUCGUACGCGUACACACCCCUUGCAAACACACAGCGCUCCCGCGUUGGAAAGCAAGUCUAUAUCCUCUUUGGAUAUGCCAUAGAGUGUGACAGCCACGUUUGACACACCCUACGUACCGCACACACACAUACCUAAAAAAUACGCGCUGCUUCGCAUACGCAUACCGUAUAUAACCUGAGUCGAGUUAUUU